UGAUUGGAUUUCAUGUAUUUACGGCAUUGUGCUUGUUAGAAAUACUUGCUCGGUUUUAAUAAUAUUUUAAGGUGGGGAAGAAUGAAAUGAACGGCAAAAUUCGGCAUUUUGUUCGCGUACCCCCAACGUCACCUCACGUACCCCAGUUUGGGAAACACUGCCCUAGAGACUAGAAAGGAGUCAGCUGCAUGGAGCGAUUUCCAUAAACUCUCCGCGUUAAAUAACCAAUUCAGAGAGAAAUGUGAUUAAAAACAACAGAGAGAUUAAAUUUCUGAACGGAUGCGAUAACAUAAAGAAGCUGUCGCCGGAGUUAGAAGACGAGGCGGAGAUUCAUGAAAUAGAGGCCGAUGCAGACCCACGGAGCAUCGGAGCACCUUGAAUGAACUUCCUUGUUUGAAUAAAUAUCAUCAAUUUCUUGCCUUGGACUCAUGAGAUGCAACUAAGUGUGUUUACGGUGAGACACCUACGGACAUGUUUUGCUUGAUGAACUGUGUUUUUGAGCCAUCAAACUGGUAGGGGAAUUCUUUUCCUUUUUACUUUUGGACAAACAUGACGUGAACUCAUUGAGAUCUGCUUAUUUUCCCUAUUUUUCCCCCCGGAUUUUUAAUGAAAGACUUUGAACUGAACUAUUAGAAAAGAAUCGAUAUUUCUUUGAACUGAAUCGUUUGAUUCAUGAACUCAGGUUAACCGAAUCAUUGAGCAUUUAAUUCACCUAACUGAAAUUGAAAAGUGAAAAUUCAGAGCCACAUUCUGUACAGCACAAAUUCUGAGUAUUCAAUUAUUGAAUGUAAUAUUUUGUUUUGAGAAUGUUGUUUACUGUUUUCUUCAAUUCUGUUGAGUUAUAAACAAACUGACAGAG